GAUCAAGCUAGUAAGGGCGCAAGGUGGAUGCCUUGGCACCAGGAGCCGAAGAAGGACGUGGUAAGCUGCGAAAAGCCACGGGUAGCCGCAAACAGGCAGAGAUCCGUGGAUGUCCGAAUGGGGGAACCCGCAUGGCAAAGGCCAUGCAUCCUUAGCUGAACAAAAUAGGCUAAGGAGGGCAAACCCGGGGAACUGAAACAUCUAAGUACCCGGAGGAAAAGAAAGAAUAAUCGAUUCCCUAAGUAGCGGCGAGCGAAAGGGGAGGAGCCCAAACCAGGCGAAAGUCUGGGGUUGAGGACAGGUCAUAGAGUAUACUGGAACCUAGUCGAAGAUGACUGGAAAGUCACGCCAUAGAAGGUAAGAGCCCUGUAGGCGAAAGGGGAAGGUAGAAGGACCUGAUCCAGAGUACCACGGGACACGAGGAAUCCUGUGGGAAGCAGGGUGGACCACCACCCAAGGCUAAAUACUACCUGGUGACCGAUAGCGUAUAGUACCGUGAGGGAAAGGUGAAAAGAACCCCGGGAGGGGAGUGAAAGAGAACCUGAAACCUUGUGCCUACAAGCAGUCGGAGGACGUUAAGGUCUGACGGCGUGCUUUUUGUAGAACGAGCCAGCGAGUUACGGUAUGUAGCGAGGUUAAGCACCUGUGGUGUGGAGCCGAAGGGAAACCGAGUCUUAAUAGGGCGAAAAGUUACAUGCCGUAGACCCGAAACCGGGUGAUCUAUCCAUGGACAGGGUGAAGACAAGGUAAAACUUGUCGGAGGCCCGAACCACGUUGGUGUUGAAAAACCAUGGGAUGAGCUGUGGAUAGCGGAGAAAUUCCAAUCGAACUCGGAGAUAGCUGGUUCUCCCCGAAAUAGCUUUAGGGCUAGCCUCAGGGCGUAAGUUUAGGAGGUAGAGCACUGAAUGGGCUAGGGGCCGUAUAGGUUACCGAACCCUAUCAAACUCCGAAUGCCUAAACUGAGACCCUGGGAGUCAGACUACGAGUGAUAAGAUCCGUGGUCGAGAGGGAAACAGCCCAGACCACCAGCUAAGGUCCCGAAGUGCAUGUUAAGUGGGAAAGGAUGUGGGAUCUCAAAGACAACCAGGAUGUUGGCUUAGAAGCAGCCAUACAUUUAAAGAGUGCGUAAUAGCUCACUGGUCGAGAGGUCCUGCGCCGAAGAUGUCCGGGGCUAAAACAUGCCACCGAAGCUGUGGACUUUCA
rnacentral:ncRNA from 1 species